GGCAUGUAUCACAUCUACAGGAUAUCUCAGAAUGGGGGACAGUGUUUCCUAAAUCUCAAUUAUUCCAAAUAGCACCUUCACAACUAUUACCAUAUCCACUAUCUACAGAUGCAAAUAUUAAAAGACAUUCAUUCCAGCACCACUGAAAGCGGCAUUACCCACAUUCCUCUGAUAAGCAUUUGAGAUGCUUGUUACAAACAUAGAAUCCUGGGGUCCCACCUUAAACUAACUCAAUCAAACUCUCCUGAGGGAGGGACCUGGGAAUUAGUAGGUUUUUCAAAUGCCCCCAAGUGAUUCUUCUCUUUAGGGGAGUUUGGGAAACAAUGAAGUAAAGUAAGUUCUCCACUGCUUGCCACAAAUACCAGGUUUGGGGAUCACAGGGAGGUGAGCAGCAAUUCAGACUAGCAAGGUUGCCAGAGCCAACAGCCACUCCCUUUUCCAAGAGACUCUCAGGCUUUCAAAACAGAGGUUCCACCAGCCCUUAUGUGAUUGUAAGUAGCAAAGAACACAGUUCAGACCAUGACAGGAGAAUCGUGAGGGCCACAAUUCACCUAUGUAUCUAUGCAUCAAAUUGAUCAUAGAAAGCUUUCACAGGACCACAAGAUAAAACCAAGGUUUCUACAUGUAAAGCUGUACAGAAAACUUCACUUUAACUAAAAUCAAAGUCAGAAUCUAAGGCAAAAUACAAAAGAGCUCUAAAAGGAAGUGCUUCAGAAGCAACCAAUGAGUGCAUAAAUAAAUGGAACAACGAACUGAUGUUUCUCUCUGUCUCUCUGCCUCUCACUCUCUCU